GACGAACGCUGGCGGCGUGCCUAAUACAUGCAAGUCGAACGCUUUUGUUUUCACCGGAGCUUGCUCCACCGAAAACAAAAGAGUGGCGGACGGGUGAGUAACACGUGGGUAACCUGCCCUCAAGCGGGGGAUAACAUUUGGAAACAGAUGCUAAUACCGCAUAAAUCCAAGAACCGCAUGGUUCUUGGCUGAAAGAUGGCGUAAGCUAUCGCUUUUGGAUGGACCCGCGGCGUAUUAGCUAGUUGGUGAGGUAACGGCUCACCAAGGCAAUGAUACGUAGCCGAACUGAGAGGUUGAUCGGCCACAUUGGGACUGAGACACGGCCCAAACUCCUACGGG
rnacentral:rRNA from 1 species